AUGCAAGUCGAGCGGAGAUGAGGUGCUUGCACCUUAUCUUAGCGGCGGACGGGUGAGUAAUGCUUAGGAAUCUGCCUAUUAGUGGGGGACAACAUUCCGAAAGGAAUGCUAAUACCGCAUACGCCCUACGGGGGAAAGCAGGGGAUCUUCGGACCUUGCGCUAAUAGAUGAGCCUAAGUCGGAUUAGCUAGUUGGUGGGGUAAAGGCCUACCAAGGCGACGAUCUGUAGCGGGUCUGAGAGGAUGAUCCGCCACACUGGGACUGAGACACGGCCCAGACUCCUACGGGAGGCAGCAGUGGGGAAUAUUGGACAAUGGGCGGAAGCCUGAUCCAGCCAUGCCGCGUGUGUGAAGAAGGCCUUUUGGUUGUAAAGCACUUUAAGCGAGGAGGAGGCUACUUAGAUUAAUACUCUAGGAUAGUGGACGUUACUCGCAGAAUAAGCACCGGCUAACUCUGUGCCAGCAGCCGCGGUAAUACAGAGGGUGCGAGCGUUAAUCGGAUUUACUGGGCGUAAAGCGUGCGUAGGCGGCUGAUUAAGUCGGAUGUGAAAUCCCUGAGCUUAACUUAGGAAUUGCAUUCGAUACUGGUCAGCUAGAGUAUGGGAGAGGAUGGUAGAAUUCCAGGUGUAGCGGUGAAAUGCGUAGAGAUCUGGAGGAAUACCGAUGGCGAAGGCAGCCAUCUGGCCUAAUACUGACGCUGAGGUACGAAAGCAUGGGGAGCAAACAGGAUUAGAUACCCUGGUAGUCCAUGCCGUAAACGAUGUCUACUAGCCGUUGGGGCCUUUGAGGCUUUAGUGGCGCAGCUAACGCGAUAAGUAGACCGCCUGGGGAGUACGGUCGCAAGACUAAAACUCAAAUGAAUUGACGGGGGCCCGCACAAGCGGUGGAGCAUGUGGUUUAAUUCGAUGCAACGCG
rnacentral:rRNA from 1 species